rnacentral:misc_RNA from 1 species
UUUCCGUUGGUGAACCAGCGGAAGGAUCAUUACAGAGAUCAUGCCCUCACGGGUAGACCUCCCACCCUGUGUUAUUUACUCUUGUUGCUUUGGCAGGCCGCCUUCGGGCUCCCGGCUUCGGCUGGGGUGCGCCUGCCAGAGGACCCCAACUCUUUUGUUUAUGUGUCGUCUGAGUACUAUAUAAUAAGUUAAAACUUUCAACAACGGAUCUCUUGGUUCUGGCAUCGAUGAAGAACGCAGC